rnacentral:rRNA from 1 species
AUUGAACGCUGGCGGCAUGCUUUACACAUGCAAGUCGAACGGACUUAGGUGCUUGCACCUAGGUUAGUGGCGAACGGGUGAGUAAUGCAUCGGAACGUACCGUGUAAUGGGGGAUAACGCAGCGAAAGUUGUGCUAAUACCGCAUACGAUCUACGGAUGAAAGCAGGGGAUCGCAAGACCUUGCGUUAUACGAGCGGCCGAUGUCGGAUUAGCUAGUUGGUAGGGUAAAGGCCUACCAAGGCAACGAUCCGUAGCGGGUCUGAGAGGAUGAUCCGCCACACUGGGACUGAGACACGGCCCAGACUCCUACGGGAGGCAGCAGUGGGGAAUUUUGGACAAUGGGCGCAAGCCUGAUCCAGCCACGCCGCGUGAGUGAAGAAGGCCU